CGUGAAGCCCGCUGUCUUCCUGCAAUUCGCCCGCCGCGGCUUUGCGGAAAAUCAGGAGAAACUGUCAGAGGGAAGAGGCACAACAUUGUGGGCCAAGCAGGAGGGGCAUAUAUAACAUAUGAAGAGUGAAAUCUACCUCCGUAUAGGAGACCAGGAGAAGUGAUGCACAGAGAUAGUACUGACCCUCUGAUGCUUCACUACAGCCCCUCCUGAACGGCUAGUUCUCAAUCAAAAAAGAAACGGGACUCCGCAGAGCUUCAUUCCAGCUGGCAGAGAGUGAAUCGAAGACCUUUGCCUAGAGCCCCUGGCCUGGGAUUGAACGACUCACCCAGUGAAUGCAAUCCCCUUCCUGCUCAGGACCCUGAAGCUCUAACUUUCAGUUCCCUCUCCAGGAACACAGCACACACACGGUAAAAGCAGCUACAGUUAUUGACAUUAGAUCCUGCUUAGGAAGCGGAUCUACUGCCCAAUGGUACAAUUUCCCCACUGUACAAAAGCCGACCAGGCGAAUACCACAGCAGGAAGUUUGCAGCCCAGAAUAAAAUAAGUGCUUAAAAUCAUA